UUCUCUCUCCUCCCCUCCCCUGCGCGCGCGCGUCGCUCCAGUUUCUCCGGCCAAAUCCGGCCGAUCCGGCCACCGAUUGGACCGGGUCUUGUGUCUAAAAUCAUCUACUCGACGAGAGCUUUCCAUAGACACCAAGAACGCCGAAAUCCAUCGAGCGGAUUGUCCGAUUUUUGCUCGGGAAGAUUUUCGCCCAUUUCGACUUUUGGGCUAGAUUUCUCGAAAACCGUGAAUCCCAUGAGAAAACCGAGGCUACCAGCACGCUCCACUCGACGAGAGCUUCGAGGGAUAUUAAUUUCAAAAUUUUCCGACAACGUUUUUCGGUAUUCUCAAUUCGCGGAAAUUCGACAGUUGACCGGGUCUGCGAAAUUCCGGCCAGACAGACCCGUUACCGGAAAAGUCUCCGAAUUGGGCCGAGAUUUUGCCUACCCCCCCAUUGUCAGACGUCCCGAGCGCGUCCCCGAGGUCGGAAUCGGCAAAGGUGAGCCGGGACAGCCUUCUUCCUCCGCCCAGCCGCCACAGUAAUUUGUCGUCAAGUCUGCCACAGGAGGAUAUUUUAUUCUGGGUUAACCUGCUUUUAUCCUUCGCAGGUUGUUUAUCCAUGUUUGUGUAAUUUUAAUUACUCCUAGAAUUUCCGCAUGUGUUAGCGGAUUUAUUUGAAUUUGGUCUGUAAUAUUUUUAUCAUGUUGGACCUGUAAACUUAAAUAUGUUAUGCAUGUUGAUGGAUUGGAUGAGGGAGCUGAGCUCCCAUUUAUUUUAUGUUGAUGAGUAUGUGGAGGGUGAGCUGAGCUCCCCAAUUGAGUA